rnacentral:rRNA from 1 species
GUGAGGAAUAUUGCGCAAUGGAGGCAACUCUGACGCAGCCAUGCCGCGUGCAGGAAGAAGGCGCUACGCGUUGUAAAAUGCUUUUAACCGGGAAGAAACCCCAGGACGAGUCCUGGGUUGACGGUACCGGAGGAAUAAGCACCGGCUAACUUCGUGCCAGUAGCCGCGGUAAUACGAAGGGUGCAAGCGUUAUCAGGAUUCAUUGGGUUUAAAGGGUGCGUAGGCGGAGCGUUAAGUCAGUGGUGAAAACCUGCAGCUUAACUGUAGACUUGCCAUUGAUACUGGCGCUCUUGAGUACGCUUGAAGUGGGCGGAAUGUGCCGUGUAGCGGUGAAAUGCUGAGAUAUGGCACAGAACACCAAUUGCGAAGGCAGCUCACUAAGGCGAUACUGACGCUGAGGCACGAAAGCGUGGGGAUCGAACAGGAUUAGAUACCCCAGUAGUCC